rnacentral:lncRNA from 1 species
UCCCAAAAUAAACUCUUCCUGCUCAAGUUAGAGCCUUGGGCUUAAAGUCUCAGCGUCCUGGAACCAGAACAAUACAAACACGGGAUCAGCGGAAUGAGACAGGAGCAUUUGUGAGCGAUGCGAUCAUCGCUUUGUUAGUGCAGGCUCUGUGACACGCUGGGAAUGCGUUGAAGUUAGGGGGGAUUUUAGUCAAUAUAAGGGAAGACUAGGUGCCAUCUACUGGUGAAGAAACUGACAACUUUCCAUUUUUCCAACAAAACUUUGUGUCUUUUCAGACAGUGCCGUCAGCAGGAGCUGGUUGUAGAAUAUACACAACAUCGUUAUCCUGUGGUCAUGAUAAGUUGGCAAGGCUGUCCAAUCCAAUUGCCAGCCUGAUUUCCAAAAUUUCACCCUACAAAACUCAUGUGCAAGAUGGUAAAGAUUACAUAAAAGGAUGUCCACUAUGGCACUCUUCGCAAUUACUAGGAAAAUGAACCAAGUGUCCACUGAUGGGAGUCUGAUUAAUUAUAUUAUAUAUAUAUCUGCUACACAAUAAAAUGACACAACAAAGGAGCUUAUAGCCAUCAAAAAGACAGAAGUGGAGUUAUUGACCAGGAGCAGUAUGUUUGAGAAAUAUCUGGUGAAAUAGCCAUGAGAAAAUUUUCAAUGACAUUCACGGCUUGCCAUCUAUUUCCAUCGGACAGCACUUGUCCACACUCUUAUACUACAUUAUACUGUCUCUUCAUCCGGUAGCAAAGCCCUUCCUUGCUAAUGGUUGCAUUUUGCAUAGAACUAUUAGCAACAUGAAUGGACUGUCAGCAUGAAUGGUGUGGUGAAGAAUGUGGAAAGGAACAAAAGAAGAGAAACAGAGAUGUCAUCUGAAAUUAUCAGCAGCAAAAUCCUGAAGCAGCGAGAAAGGGGAUGUCACCAAAGCUCAUAAGUGAAGAGCAUGCCCAAGAAAGUGAGCUCCAUGAAUGCUGGGACCUCAUCUGUCCUGUGCCCCACUGUAUCUUUGGUGUCUAGAUUGGUGCCUGUAACACAGCAGGCCUCAAUAAAUGUUUUUU